rnacentral:misc_RNA from 1 species
UUGCCCUAUAAAAGUCAUAGCAACCGCA